UCCGGCGGGUGCAAGCGUUGUUCGGAAUCACUGGGCGUAAAGGGCGUGUAGGCGGGCAGGCAAGUCGGAUGUGAAAGCCCUGGGCUCAACCCAGGAACUGCAUCCGAAACUGGUCGGCUAGAGUCCCGGAGAGGAAGGCGGAAUUCCCAGUGUAAGGGUGAAAUCCGCAGAUAUUGGGAAGAAUACCAGAGGCGAAGGCGGCCUUCUGGACGGUGACUGACGCUGAGACGCGAAAGCGUGAGUAGCAAACAGG
rnacentral:rRNA from 1 species